rnacentral:rRNA from 1 species
CCACAUCUAAGGAAGGCAGCAGGCGCGCAAAUUACCCAAUUCUAACAGUUUGAGAGAGGUAGUAACAAGAAAUAACAAUACAAGRCAGUUAAAAUGCWUUGUAAUUGGAAUGAUAGAAAUUUAAACCCUUUUUAAAGUAUCAAUUGGAGGGCAAGUCUGGUGCCAGCAGCCGCGGUAAUUCCAGCUCCAAUAGCGUAUAUUAAAAUUGUUGCAGUUAAAAAGCUCGUAGUUGAAGUUCUGCUAAAASUAACCGGUCUGCUUUUAAUAAAAGUGGUAUCUUGGUAUGUAUUUAGCAAUGAUGUCCUUUGAAGYGUUUUUUACUUUAUUGUAAUAAAGCAUAUUCAGGACUUUUACUUUGAGAAAAUUAGAGUGUUUCUA